rnacentral:rRNA from 1 species
UACGGGGGGGGCAAGCGUUGUUCGGAAUUACUGGGCGUAAAGGGCUCGUAGGUGGCCAACUAAGUCAGACGUGAAAUCCCUCGGCUUAACCGGGGAACUGCGUCUGAUACUGGAUGGCUUGAGUUCGGGAGAGGGAUGCGGAACUCCAGGUGUAGCGGUGAAAUGCGUAGAUAUCCGGGGGAACGCCGGUGGCGAAAGCGGGUCGCCGGGCCUUACCUGACGCUGAGGCGCGAAAGCCAGGGGAGCGAACGGG